AUGUCGGGCUCUCCAAAGAAGCCCUGGCAAGUAGUGUUUGACAUGGUGGAGCUGAAGGGCACAAAACCAGGGUGUGGGAAAUGCAGUUGCUUCAGAUUGUUCACAGCAGCUGGCUAUGAUUUGCCUCGUGCUCUAGCAGGGGCCUGGUUCUGCCAGCUGCACAAGCAUAUGCCAUUUGGAAAUCUGGGAACUUUUGUGAAGGUUACACUCCCAGCAGUGGUGAAUGAGGCUUCUCUUUUUCCUCCAUUCUCACCAGCAUUUCUUGUGAUUCACUUUCUGGAUGGCAAACCUUCUGACUGUGGUGAAAUGGAAUUGAAUGCGAUUUUAAUUUAUACUUCACUAAUGGCCAAGGGUAUUGAGUGUAAGCUGCAAACAUCUUGGACCCCAGGAGAAUCCGCGUUGAAGAACAGAGCAUUUAGCUCCUCUGUCAGAAUGGGAACCAGAAAUUGGAUGUUUAUAACCAAGAAAAGCAGAAUUUCAUCCAGCACUUCUCCCAGAUCAUCAAGGUGAUGACUGAGAAGGAGCUGGGGCACCUAGAGAUAGGGGAUGCUGUUGCCUGGCUCAAGGAGAUCCUAGAGUACAAUGCCUUAGGAGGCAAGUACAACCGGGGUUUGACCGUGGUACAAGCCUUCCAGGAGCUGGUGGAGCCGAAGAAACAGGAUGCUGAGAGUCUUCAGCGGGCCCUGAUGGUGGGCUGGUGUGUAGAACUGCUCCAGGCUUUCUUCCUCGUGUCAGAUGACAUCAUGGACUCUUCCCUCACUCGCCGGCACAGAUCUGCUGAUAUCAGAAGCCAGGCAUAGGCUUGGAUGCCAUCAAUGACGCUCUGCUUCUGGAAGCCUCCAUCUAUCGUUUGCUGAAGUUCUACUGCAGGGAGAAGCCCUACUACCUGAACCCGCUGGAGCUCUUUCUGCAGAGUUCUCAUCAGACUAAGAUCGGGCAGACUCUAUACCUCAUGACAGCACCCCAGGGCCAUGUGGAUCUUGGUAAAUACACUGAAAAGAGGUACAAAUCGAUUGUCAAGUACAAGACGGCUUUCUACUCUUUCUACCUGCCUAUCGCAGCCGCCAUGUACAUGGCAGGCAUUGAUGGGGAGAAGGAACACGCCAAUGCCCUGAAGAUCCUGAUGGAGAUGGGCGAGUUCUUCCAGGUCCAGGACGACUACCUUGAUCUCUUUGGAGACCCCAGUGUGACAAGAAAUGUCGGCACUGACAUCUAGGACAACAAAUGCAGCUGGCUGGUGGUUCAAUGUCUGCUACGAGCCUCUCCUCAACAGCGUCAGAUCUUAGAGAAGAAUUAUGGGCAGAAGGACCCAGAAAAAGUGGCUCCGGUGAAAGCACUGUAUGAGGCACUGGAUCUGCGGUCUGUUUUCUUCAAGUAUGAGGAAGACAAUUACAACCACCUCAAGAGUCUCAUAGAGCAGUGCUCUGUGCCCCUGCCCCCAUCCAUCUUCAUGGAACUUGCAAACAAGAUCUACAAGCGGAGAAAGUGACCCCGGAAUUGGAGAGGCUGGGAGGGA